rnacentral:misc_RNA from 1 species
UACGAAGGUCCCGAGCGUUAUCCGGAAUCAUUGGGCGUAAAGAGCUCGUAGGCGGUUCAGCAAGUCGGCUGUGAAAGUCUGAGGCUCAACCUCGGAAUUGCAGUCGAUACUGCUGUGACUCGAGUCCGGUAGAGGAGAAUGGAAUUCUCGGUGUAGCGGUGAAAUGCGCAGAUAUCGAGAGGAACACCAGUAGCGAAGGCGGUUCUCUGGGCCGGCACUGACGCUGAGGAGCGAAAGCUAGGGGAGCGAACGGG